rnacentral:tRNA from 1 species
GGUUAUGGCUCAGCGGUAGAGCACUUGCCUUGCACAUGUGAGGCCCUGGGUUCAAUCCUCAGCACCA